rnacentral:rRNA from 1 species
GACGAACGCUGGCGGCGUGCUUAACACAUGCAAGUCGAACGAAGUGGCGGACGGGUGCGUAACGCGUAAUCAACCUGCCCUUCAGAGGGGGACAACAGUUGGAAACGACUGCUAAUAACGCAUACUGAAGGAGGGGAUUGCGUGUGAUUAGCUAUUUGGCGGGGUAAGGGCCCACCAAGGCGAUGACCAGUAGCCGGGCUGAGAGGAUGACCGGCCACAUUGGGACUGAGUCACGGUCCAGACUCCUACGGGAGGCAGCAGUGGGGAAUCUUCCGCAAUUGACGAAAGUCUGACGGAGCAACGCCGCGUGAGUGAUGACGGCCUUCGGGUUGUAAAGCUUUGUUAAUCGGGACGCGGUACCGGAAUAGAAAGCCACGGCUAACUACGUGCCAGCAGCCGCGGUAAUUC